rnacentral:rRNA from 1 species
UACGAGGGGAGCGAGUGUUGUUCGGCAUCACUGGGCGUAAAGCGUGCGUAGGCGGUUUUGUAAGUCAGAAGUGAAAGCCUGGGGCUCAACCUCAGAAUUGCUUUUGAGACUGCAAAGCUAGAGUAUUGGAGAGGUUAGUGGAAUUCCGAGUGGAGAGGUGAAAGUCGCAGAUAGUCGGAGGAACACCAGUGGCGAAGGCGACUAACGGGACAAUUACUGACGCUGAGGCACGAAAGCGUGGGGAUCAAACAGG